CUGCCUACGGGGGGCAGCAGUGAGGAAUAUUGCACAAUGGGGGAAACCCUGAUGCAGCGACGCCGCGUGAGUGAGGAAGUAUUUCGGUAUGUAAAGCUCUAUCAGCAGGGAAGAAAAUGACGGUACCUGACUAAGAAGCCCCGGCUAACUACGUGCCAGCAGCCGCGGUAAUACGUAGGGGGCAAGCGUUAUCCGGAUUUACUGGGUGUAAAGGGAGCGUAGACGGAGGAGCAAGUCUGAUGUGAAAACUACGGGCUUAACUUGUAGACUGCAGUUGAAACUGGUUUUCUUGAGUGAAGUAGAGG
rnacentral:rRNA from 1 species